rnacentral:lncRNA from 1 species
UGUUGACUGCCGACUGAGAACGUAGGAUAACAGCUGCUUAGCAUCACCGUGGCCGAAGUCCGUGACUUUACCUUUUUUCCUCGGGUUGGCUCUAACACCAGAGGCGUAUAUCCUUCAGACCAUUAUGUUUAUGACUUUGAUGCGCACCUCCAGAGCUGACCGACUCAUUUAAGGAUCAAAUCCCCCGUAAAGGUAGUUGAAGACUGCAGUGGAGUUGAAGACUACCUGUACUGCGUGUGCACGCAUGUGGGAGAUGCAAUAUUGCCGAUUUUUCUUCACAGCCUGUCAGGACAGCCAGUGUUUGGUCCUGUCACCGGUGUGUUUUUUUUUUUUUAAAUCCUCUCUCGUCCAAACAGAAGGAUUUAGGUAAUUUAAUUUUAAUUUAACAAAACAAUUUAGGUAAAAAAAAACAAAAAACAAAACGCUGCUAAACAGCAUCCUUUUUAAUGGCAGAGUGCCAAAUUUCCUUCCCUUUCUAGCAUUUUCAAAAAAUUCUAGAAUUUUUCCCUUUAGGAUUAAGACAUUUCUGAAAAAUGAGCUAUACUUCUAAUAUUUUUUUCUAUAGAAAUAAAAAUAUUUAUGGCUGUAACUUAAUUACAUAUUCCCUAAAAAUGGAAAAAAAAACCACUUUUUCCCUAUACCUUCCGUGUUAGGUCAGACUACUGCGGACAGGUGCUGCCGCCUACGUUCCUGAAAACGACGACACUUUGGCAGAUAGGGAAUCCUUAAGCAGUAGACGUAUACCUCUAAACUAUUAUACUUUAUAGUUUAUACCAUGGUAGUUGUUCUGCUUGGUAUUAGUUAUUUGCAUCCAUUUGAUGCUCAAAUUUCACCUUCAUCACCUGCCUGAAAGCAUCACAAUUAUCUUUAUUGCUUUCAUGUAUUCACCAUGUUGCUGAUUGGGCUAAAGAAGCAGCUUUUUCUCCUAGAGGACUCCUAAAGACUCUUCCCCCAAGGAAAUUUGUAGCUGUGGACUUUAUUAAUUUGACUCUUGUAUCAUUAAUAUUUUUCCACUUCUUGGAACAAGGAACAUAGGAUAUCUUGAUGCCAACCAAGUGUCAUUGAAAAGAUUCUAAAAAGAUGUUUAAGGUAUUUGACGAAUGUGUAAUAAUGUUAGUAAAGUGACUUUUUUGGAAUUUGUAAAUUAGCAGGAAAAAAUUAAAGCUGGAGAACUAUACAUUUGUUUCUUGUUACUAGUUUGGUAAAUUGUUAAAAUGAAACAACAUAUGACCGUGACCUGUUACUUCAGUUAAUUGAUUGCAGAGUCAGAGAACAAUGCCAUAAAAUAACAAAACGGAGGUUAUUUAUCACUGAGUCAUAGAACAAUGUGUGGAAUCUGAUUUACUAGCCCUUGAAACCCCAGCUGCCCUUCUGCUUCAACAAGGCUAUAAAACAAUUAUAAUUUCAGGAGGCUCUAACUCGGUUUACGCAACGGAUGCCCCACUUUACCACCCAGCAAAUCUUUACUUGCGUUCUUCCAGUGCCGGGAAUUUGUUAUGCAUGCAAUUACUCAACAAGGCAUUAGUGGAACGGCGGAGAGAAAAGAUGUUUGCGAUGGGCAAUUCGAGAUCCAAGUAAAAACGGAGUGCCCAUUGUUUAAAGGCUUAGAGACUCGGCAAAAGGUAUUACUGAUCCAUGGUGACAGACAGUGUAGACAAGGUUGCAGAAGAGUUGCGUUGCGUCGCAUCAUCUUUGCGUCAUAUUAUUUCCGCUAUCGCUGAUACUGAACGCCGUCUUUACGAAGUCAAUUUCCAUGAUUUGAGUGAAAACGAUUGCAAGGAGGUUUCACGUUGGAGAAAUGCGAGCAGCAGGUGUAUCGUUUACAUCCGGAGUAUGGUCGGACGUGUUAAGAGCAUGCUCAUGCUGGUAAGCGGUGAAGUCGAUUUCGCCGUUUGUGCUGCCCUUUUCCAUGAAGCACUUCUACAGGUUAUAACUCGUCGAGAGUGCAGGGCAUCUACAUCGAUAACGGUUUCCUGCGUAAAGACGAAUCCGAGCAGGUCGUCACUAGUUUACAGCAACUCGGGGUUAUUCUUCGGACAGUGGCUUCUCAUUUCUUCUUCUUACCAGCGAUCAGAUUUGAGGUUUCAAAUGGUUUUAGUUUGUUAAAGCAAAUCUGACUUUCUACGGUUUUUCCAUCGACGUGCAUGGUCGCCAAACUUUGUCUUUAUGUCGGACUGUCAAUCCGUAAGAAAAACGUCGAAUUACUCGCGAUACGUUUGUCAAAGUGGCAGAUACAACGGCUAACGAUUUAAAUCUAACUUGGGAUAAUAUACUUCUCGAACAAGGUACUUUGAGACCGGAUUUAAUUGAGUCCGCUUUCCAUAUGGCUUCUUCGCGCACCAUUAAGAUCUUUAAUCUUUUCGCAUUUUUUCCCCAAAAGACUUCCAUGAAGAUGAAGUAAGAGGUCUUUGAGGUAAGCGGAUUUUAUUUGGCUAAUAAAAUAUUGUGGGAUUCGGGUUGCAAUAAGAAGCUAGCCCAGAUGGCAAUCGUCUUGAUCCCUUUUCACUUUUAUCGCGAUUCAAGUCAACGCAUUCCAUCAUGCCAGCGAUCAGUCGUUGUCCGACCAUUCCUUUCACAUGAUUUUGUGACUGGACUUCCCACAAUUCCUGAUACCUAUCUGCCCCAAGAGGUUGAAGACAAGAUGGUUGAAGCCGUCUUAACUGUUCCAGGAAUUUCCAGGGUCUUGUAUGACCGGACAGCGAAACCACCCGGGACAACGAAGUGGGAAUUAUUUGAUUUACGAUCGUUGCUUAGACAAAUGAUCUCCGCACGAUCCAUAGGAUGAUCUCCGCACGCUUCAUAGGACACGGAUACAGAGUUGUAUCAUUGACCAGAUUUAGGGGG